GCCCGGUUAGCAUAAAAGUAAUGCAACCGUUUAAUCGGUUUAAGUAAGUGCGAUACUUGCACUGGGCU
rnacentral:tRNA from 1 species